AGCUGCUAUUGUUUCAAACUCCAAUGGAGGUUGUCUGUGUCAAAUAUUCAUGUUGAAUCUCUAUGUCGGUCUCCUUCUUGGCGUUUCGUCUCCGAUUCAUUGCGUCUGGUACGUUACUGGAUUAAGUGGUUCAUCGCCAUUAACAGCCUUUUCUACUCCUUGGACCCACGCCAUCCACGAUUACUCAUUCAAGACUUCUCAUCUCUCUUCCAGGCGGUGUAAGUUCACCUAUUAAAAGAUCGGGCAUUUUUCAUCCACCGCGGAGGUGUGACUGCUCAGUUGCUCAGUUUUUCAACUAUUAUUCAUAUAACAGCCAGCGAGAAACGUUGAGAACAAGUACGGUAAUAAAAGUGAGGUAUGGAGCUUGGGUUUUGUAGUGCUUCAAUUGCGCAACAUGAGCCAUAUCCACCUCAGAUGAAGAGAAAACAUGGAGCAGUCUUUUCAGGUUCAUGGAAGCUAUAGUUGACCAACCACCACCCACUCUUCCUUCAGAAUGUUUCUCCUUUGAGUUAUCUUCAUUCAUCUACACAUGUUUGCAAAAGGACUCGAACAGUCAAAUCUCCGCAAAGGAACUAAUGGAACAUCCUUUCUUGAAGAAGUACGACGACAACUCUGGGAUCAAUAUGGUGUCUUACUUCGUAGAUGCAUGGUCUCUGCUUCCAACGCUUAAGAAUAUCUCUGGUUAGUUAUCUGUUUAAGCUCUAGAAGGACAUCGUAUCAUCUGGUUGUUACUGUUAUCACCCACCAGUGAAAAUGUUAUCUUGAUCAUAUAGAUUUGUGCUAUUGUUGUAUUUCAAGAUUGUAGGAUAUUAGGAUAUAUGAGCAACAUGAGACUCAUUAGUGAGUUAAAUUUAUUUCAAGAUUCAUCAUCUUUAGUAUUUUUUCCAAUGUUUCAAUUUGUAUAAGCAACUCACCUUUGCUUGGAUGUUGUGUUGGGUUAUAUAGAUAAUAUA